ACCUACCUGGCUCAGUCAGUAGAGCAUGUGACUCUUGAUCUUGGGGUUGUGAGUUCGAGCCCCAUGUUGGGUG
rfam:Ailuropoda melanoleuca scaffold317_50, whole genome shotgun sequence.